rfam:Triticum aestivum genome assembly, contig: Triticum_aestivum_CS42_TGACv1_scaffold_221934_3B
GUGAUACUUUCUCCGUCUCAAAAAUUUUGUCUUAGAUUUGUCCAAAUACGGAUGUAUCAAGUCACAUUUUAGUAUUAAGUACAUUCGUAUCUAGACAAAUCUAAGACAAGAAUUUUGGGACGGAGGGAGUACUUG